rnacentral:rRNA from 1 species
AUUGAACGCUGGCGGCAGGCCUAACACAUGCAAGUCGAACGAGUGGCGGACGGGUGAGUAAUGUCUGGGAAACUGCCUGAUGGAGGGGGAUAACUACUGGAAACGGUAGCUAAUACCGCCUACCCUCAUGUGGGCCCAGAUGGGAUGAGCUUGUGGGUGGGGUAACGGCUCACCAAGGCGAAGCUCCCUAGCUGGUCUGAGAGGAUGACCAUCAACACGGGAACUGAGACACGGUCCAGACUCCUACGGGAGGCAGCAGUGGGGAAUAUUGCACAAUGGGCGCAAGCCUGAUGCAGCCAUGCCGCGUGUAUGAAGAUGGCCUUCGGGUUGUAAAGUACUUUUAGCUGUGAGGCGUUACCCGCAGAAGAAGCACCGGCUAACUCCGUGCCAGCAGCCGCGGUAAUUC